rnacentral:rRNA from 1 species
UACGUAGGGGGCAAGCGUUGUCCGGAAUCAUUGGGCGUAAAGAGCGUGUAGGCGGCCCGGUAAGUCCGCUGUGAAAGUCCAGGGCUCAACCCUGGGAUGCCGGUGGAUACUGUCGGGCUCGAGUCCGGAAGAGGAGUGUGGAAUUCCUGGUGUAGCGGUGAAAUGCGCAGAUAUCGAGGAGGAACACCGGUGGCGAAGGCGGGUCUCUGGGCCGAUACUGACGCUGAGGAGCGAAAGCGUGGGGAGCGAACAGG